rnacentral:rRNA from 1 species
UACAGAGGUCUCAAGCGUUGUUCGGAUUCAUUGGGCGUAAAGGGUGCGUAGGUGGCGCCGUAAGUCGGGUGUGAAAUUUCGGAGCUUAACUCCGAAACUGCAUUCGAUACUGCGGUGCUUGAGGACUGGAGAGGAGACUGGAAUUCAUGGUGUAGCAGUGAAAUGCGUAGAUAUCAGGAGGAAUACCGAUGGCGAAGGCAGGUCUCUGGGCUAUAACUGACGCUCAUGCACGAAAGCGUGGGGAGCAAACAGG